CUCCCGUGGCAUAUGGACAUUCCCAGGCUAGGGGUCUAAUCGGAGCUGUAGCCACCGGCCUACGCCAGAGCCACAGCAACGCAGGAUCCGAGCCGCGUCUGCAACCUACACCACAGCUCACGGCAACGCUGGAUCCUUAACCCACUGAGCAAGGCCAGGGAUCGAACGUGCAAGCUCAUGGUUCCUAGUUGGAUUCGUUAACCACUGAGCUACGGCGAGAACUCCUCAAGUCAAAGAUGUUUUAAUAUACAAUAUGAAUAUAUCUGUCUUUAUCUCAACACAAUUGUAAAACAUAACUUCUAAUGUUCUUUAAAUGGAGGAAGUGGCCCGCAAAGCCUACAGUGCCUGGGGACCAGGAAAGUCGUAACAGUGCCCUGUUUGUAAGUAUACCCGGGAGGCACCAGGAAGCAACAGGACGCAGAAGGGUAGCACUUGCUCAGCAGCGCCCCCUGUAGGCAGGGGUGUGCGAGCUGUAUUUCAGCAAGAGAGUAUAAUAAGCACGUUAUCAGAAAGCAAUGGCAGGACGCCAUCCUGCCCCUCAGCUAAUCGCGGUGGGAGCUAGGGUGCCAGUCAGCAGACAGGAUGCCCAGGGCUCAGCCCAGGCGCACCAGGCACCAGGUUUAGGACAGCGGCACUAGUCCCUGUUCAAGUGGUUGCUACGUGCAGGUCAGGAUAGGUUCUGGGAGUAGGAUGGUAGCCUUCAGGGUGAAGUUUUUUUCUGGGGCUGCAGGAAAGGCACGGAUGGUCAAAUCAUGAGCUUCCAGGCAUCAUCUGCUAGGAAGACCUAUUUGGACUAUUUAGCCUCGAAAUCACGUUAUGGGGUAUAGGAGUGAUCGCCUACGGGGCCUGAGUCAGGCCGAUGGGGUUAUGGGAAACACAGAAAUGAGGGGCAGAUACACCCCCAUGCACAGAGGCAGCAGCUCCUACACACAAAAUGUGGCUUGGGAAUGUUGUCAGCUACUCCUUUGGAAAGAAAGAAGUCUAUGAAACAACUACCUAAUGCACCCUGAAGGCCAAGUCUGGCAAAGUUGAGGCUGAGCUCCAGACCUCUUGACAAGGUCUGGGAUGACGGGGGUAUAAAUUCCAUUUCACGCUGGAGGGCUGUGGUUACAGGCCAGGUAUGCAGACGGACUCUAUAAUAUCUUGUCGUUUCUCUCUUGUUGCCGAGGGAGGAGAACGACAUUGAUAAAUCACCCUAUUAUAACUUGUGAUAAAAGCAGCAGGUACUUAGAGAACUGACCAACGGACACCUGAAAAAGACGAAUGGCUGCACGGAGACGGCCGAUCCAAGUUGGAAAUUAGUGCUACCCGCUGGGGGCAGAACAGGACAAAGCCGACAGGACAAAGAUAAUAUUCCAAUCUCAUGCGUGUCCAUCGAUUCGGGUCACCUGACAGUCUUCUCGGAAAAAAAGUCUCAGUGACGAACAAUGUACGUGAAAACACCCUGGAAACUAUGGCACAUCAUGCAGAUGUAAGGUAUUAUUAUGCCUUCACCCGCCGAAGUGGAAAAUUGAAGCAAUUCUCUCUACACUUUCAUGUUAGGCUCAAGUUUUGGGCUCUUUGGGCAGGACUUUUUUUUGGUUAAGUGGUCCAGAUAGUUACCGUUGUGAUAUAUAGAAGCAGCAUCAAGUGUGUUUUGAUUUCCUAAAACCUCCAGCUUUCAGGGGGACUCAGAAUGACCCUGCAACGAUUCGCCAAGUCCUGCAGAUAAGUCUCCUCUGCGGACAUGGGUUAGUUGGUACCGUUGACUGUGUGGGUUUCUGUGGUGGUGUAGUCCACACAUCACUUUCUUCUUCGGCCUCAAGGGCAAGUUUCCGCAGCCCACAUCCCUCUGGUCUGUAGAAAGUGCUGUCCUACAUUUUCCAUGACCUCAGAGUCAGGCCAAGGCGACCUGAAGGGGAGUCGUUAACCUCUUCAGUUGCCCCCUUGUGUCUGAUGAACCACAAAUAUCUAAAUAACCACAGUAGAGCAGCCUUGUGGGAAGCCACGGGGGGAACCAGGGCAAAACAUUCACAGCAGUUUUCUCUGGCAGUUGUCAGCAGCCAACAAGACCCAAACUGAACCCUUCAGCUGCCAACGGUUCUAAAUAAUACAUGUCCAUGUGCCUGAGAUAGAAGGUCCCUUGGGGGACCCAGUCAAGGGGGGAUCGUUUGGGUGAGAGGGACAGGGUGAAGGUGGGGAGAAAAAUGGACUUCAGAAAUCAUAAUAAGGAAAGGCACAGCUUAAUGGGAGGGACCCCUGCAUAGGUGUCUGGUGAAGAGCUGGUGAUACUCUGGAAACUACACAUGGCAUCCAAUACUUAGCUCGUUUUUCCUUCAAGAAAGCUCAUUCUCGCAUUCUGCAGCAGCUGCUCCUGUUUGGAUUAGGAGCAGUAAUAAGCCAUAUGGUAUGACAGAAAAGAAUCACACAUAUUUUCACAUGGACAAAUAUUAUCAUUCCAAGACAUAAACACGUCAACAGAAGUGUUUUUUCUCCUGGGAGCAAUACAGCUCCCGGUCCCGGUUACAGGAAAAUGACUCACUCUGGAGGUGCAAAAAUUACCUGCCAUGGUUAUUACUGGAACCUGCACCAUGGGUCUCCUCAAAUUUUUCUUUCCUCCUUUGUAGGAAGACAGACAGGAGGGGAAGAAGGAAGGGAGGGGAGGAAGGAAUGAAGGAACGACAGAAAGGAAGAGAGAAAAGAGAGAGAAUGGAAAGCGGGUCCCAGGGAGAGGAGAUGUGCUUUUCCUGGCUCCCCAUCUGCAUGGCAGCCCGACCCCAGAACUCUCCUGAGAAAGCAGCAUGCUUGCCGGGGAUUAGAACGCCAAAUACCUAGCAACCAGGCCCUGCAGGCAAAGGAGGAAAGACUGAUCAGGUCGCUUAGAGCUGUCAGCAAAGGCAUCUCCUGCUUUUAUUUCAAAUGUCUCAAGGACACAGCAUCCGUCACUGACCACACAUUUCUCAUAACCGUUUAAGCUAGAGCUUCCCUUUCUUAUCUUGGUCAUGUUAUUUCCCCCUGCUUUUCACGUUCCUUUAUUCUUCCUUGCCCCAGAACUUCCUAGAUAAACCGUUGCUCCUGAGAAUCUACCGCAUUCACUGCUCCUUGUUUUGUAGCCAACCCCAAACUCCUCUCCCUCAUCUCUCUUCCUGCUGAGCCUUGGUCCUUGUCCGCCAAGACUUUUCAAUGCCCGGUGUCUCAAGGCUCUUGGAGGCCCACAGAGAGGACCUGCCCAUGACUCAGGGAGCACAGCCAUGGCGCAGCGUUGGCAGGGAGGGAGAGAAAGGGCAUGUCUGCCAUUCAGGUCCGGUGGCCACCGUGGGUCAGCUCUGAUAAAGUGCAUGUGGUUAUCACGCACGAGGAAAGCCUCUGGCGGGAGUAGGCUGGAGAGAGGAGGAGGUGCCUGAGAAAGCGUGCCCCGAGAGCAUCCUAGGAAGCCCUGCCCUGACUGCAAUGCCAGGAUCGCUUCCACGGUAGCCGUUUGUGGCAGGUCCUCUCUCCCGCUUGUACAGUUCCUACAAGUGAACACACGGGGAUCGAUUUAUCCAGUGACCCUUUUCUCAUUCUCUAGAGUCUGGAUGACAGAUUAUUAAAAAAAAAAAAAAGACCCGAAUCCAGCAUGAACUGCUGCCUGCUUACCCUGUAGCUCAGGGGUCUUUAGCUCCUGAGCCAUCUGUGGCCAGGCUGGUGAGUGUAAAUGGAUGAAUCAUCAGGACUGAGAGACAGAAGGGGCUUCGGGGAACUAGAGGACAUAUGCAUUCAAAUUAAAACACACAGCAUCCCCAGCACGCUUGCGGCAGACCCAUCUGUGUCUUCAUUCAGCCUCGGGGCCACCAGGUUGUAAUCCUUGCUCAGAAACCCAUCACCCUCCUCCGCGGGGGCACCUCCCAGGUUCCUCAACUUGCUGCCUCCACAGGCAGCCCACUCCACCCGUUCUCCCUCACUCUCAGCUGUGCGUAUCUCCAGCCACACCUUUUGACCAGUGACAUAUCCAUGGUCCCCAGGGUAUCAUUUAUACAGUCCAGCUUUUUAACAGGCUGUGGGAGGUGUCUGUGCCCCUCAGAGCAGUCUCGUCUCUGGGAUAGGCAAUUCGGGGUGACCCCACCUGCCAGGAUGUGAGACAGUUUUGAGCUCUAGGCCCGUAGCUUUCAAAGUUGCUGGGUGAUGCUGAUGCUGCUGAUCCAGGGAGACCACAGCAUCAGCAUCAUCCAGAGACUAGCUGUAAGUGUAAAUUGAGGGGCCCUCCCCUAGAGCACUGCAUCAGAGACUCUGGGAGGAGAUGGACCCAGCAAUCUGUGUUUAAGCCAGCCCUCCAGCAGAUUCUGCUGCAGGCUCAAGUGUGAGCACCACAGUUGCUCUUGUCCUCACUUUGCAACGUGUUUCAGUUUGCCUGUAUCGCUCUUAAACUGCGUGCCUACAAGGGAACCUAUUUACAAAACAGAAAGAGACUCAUAGACAUAGAGAACAGACUUGUGGUUGCCAAGGGGGAGAGGGUAGAGAGGAGGAUGGAUGGGAGUUUGGGGUUAGGAGAUGCAAACUAUUCCAUUUAUUUUUUUCUUUUUAUUUAUUUUUUUGGGUCUUUUGUCUUUUUUAGGGCCGCACCUGCGGCAUAUGGAGGUUCCCAGGCUAGGGGUCGAAUCGGAGCUGUAGCUGCAAGCCUACGCCACAGCCAUAGCAACGCCAGAUCCAAGCCACGUCUGCGACCUACCUCACAGCUCACGGCAAUGCCAGAUCCUUAACCCACUGAGCAAGGCCAGGGAUCAAACCCGCAACCUCAUGGUUCCUAGUCGGAUUCAUUAACCACUGAGCCAUGACAGGAACUCCCUGAACUAUUCCGUUUAGAAUGGAUAAGCAAUGAGGUCCUGCUGUACCCCACAGGGAACUAUAUCCAGUCUCUUGGGAUAGAACACGAUGUAAGAAAAUAUGAGAAAAAGAAUGCAUAUAUAUCUAUGACUGGGUCACUUUGUGGUACAGCAGAAAUUGGCCACUUUGUAAAUCAACUAUACUUUAAUUAAAGAAAAAA
rnacentral:lncRNA from 1 species